CCUCAGAUUGAAAACUCCUGAUGUAGCGCAAACCUAACCCCUGCCGCCUUUGCCUUCCCAGAGAGGCAAGGGGGGUGAGGUAACAUUUUUUUUAUUGGACCAAACUUCUGUUGGUGAGAGAGACAAACUCGGGAGCUUGAGGCACUCACCAACAGAAGUUAGUCCCAUAAAGGAUGUUCCCGCCCCACCCUGUCUUUCUAAUACCCUGCCACUCGCUCCGCUACAACACUUUCCUUCUCAGACAGGCUGACGGAGGGUUUGAAGUGCACUCGGCAAGUUAUGACGGAUUAGAAAGCUCCCCUUGCCUUGUAGCCCGAGAGGCGUUAGAAGGAUUUGCUUUGCUCGGAGUCAGUCUAGUCCAUUUUAGAACACUGCAGCCCCUUUCCCAUCCUUCCUGCAUUAACACGAUGGGGGAGUUUGCAGUGCUGUAAACCAAUCUAGCUCGAACUAGAACAGCUCGGAGCUUUUCUUCCUGCACUGGGCGCGGUGAUAGUGCGCUAGACCAAGCCAACCCGAUCUAGAGUAAGGCCAACCCGAGCUGGAGCUGUGCAUGGGGCUGGCGAAACAAGACCCGACGCGCCGUCCACUCUUUUCUUGCCGUGAAGCUGUUCGACCACUAGGGGCCGCUGCUCAAAGCUUUCCCAUAACCAUAGACACUAGGGGGAGGAGACUUCCACGUGAUCCUGGGUGAGGCGAUCUGGUCACCGGAAAGCCGUAGAGCUGGGGCUGCAAAUUAUCGCGAGAGUUGCUCUCUAAUCGCUAUGGUGACGGUACACCGGCUGGGCCCGGCGAGGAUGGAGUCCAGGCGGCGGGCAGGGCCCUGAAAGGCCGGGACAUGGCGGAGGCCCUGCAGACCAAAAUAGUUGAAAACCAGCCCUAUGAUGAGAGUCUAGAGAUUAACGACUCAGAAGAGGUUGCCAGUAUCUACACACCAACUCCGCAGCAGCAAGGUCCGAGGUCCACACGCCCACAGCUCAAAAACAUGGCUGAUAACAGCAGUGAUGAGUAUGAUGAAGAAAUAAACAAGGAGAAGAAGUUAGCCCAGUUGGCCCCCCAGCGAGGAUUUAGUGAGAAUGAGGAUGGGGAGGAUGAGGACGACUCGUCUGAAACUGACUCGGAUGAUGACGAUGAUGAAGAGGAGCAUGGAGCCCCUCUGGAGGGUGCCUACAACCCUGCAGAUUACGAGUAUCUACCAGUGUCUGCAGAGAUUAAAGAGCUCUUCCAGUACAUAAGGAGGUACACUCCACAAAUGAUAGAGCUUGAACACAAACUGCAGCCUUUCAUUCCAGACUUCAUUCCAGCUGUUGGAGACAUUGAUGCCUUCUUAAAGGUUCCAUGUCCCAAUGGGAAGCCAGAUAACCUUGGCCUGUUGGUACUGGAUGAGCCAUCCACAAAACAGUCAGAUUCCACGGUGCUCUCUCUCUGGUUAACGGAAAACUCCAAACAGCACAAUGUUGCACAAAUAAAAGUGAAGAGCUUGGAGAAUGCAGAGAAGAAUCCCAAAGCCAUUGAUAACUGGAUCGAGAGCAUCAGCGAGUUACAUCGCUUCAAACCUCCUGCUACUGUGCACUACACCAGGCCAAUGCCUGAUAUCGAGACUCUGAUGCAGGAAUGGUCCCCAGAAUUUGAGGAGCUCUUGGGAAAGGUAAGCCUUCCAACUGCGGACAUCAACUGUGGCCUGGCUGAGUAUAUUGACAUGAUAUGUGCUAUUCUGGACAUUCCUGUCUAUAAGAGUCGGGUCCAGUCCCUGCAUGUCCUCUUCUCGCUGUAUUCAGAGUUCAAGAACUCACAGCAUUUCAAAGCCCUGGCUGAAGGGAGGAAGGUAGGGAGUCCUCCAUCGAAUCCACCCUCACAAGCAGGAGAGACAGAAGUGUUAAGCUUCAGCUGAGAAAAAGACCCUUUCUUCAUGAGCUGGGACCUGCACCUAGGAGUAGAGCCUUGACCUAAGCCAAUCAGCAGAGCAAGGCAAAGCAUGACUGAAACCUAAGUCUUUCUGUGUGUACUGGCGAUGGACAGCGUACGACUCUGAUGAAUUAGCAGAGCCUCUGGGUAGAGAUGAGGGCACUACCUCUGAGCCAUGUCCUGCAUUUUGGGAGAAGAGGACAGAUCACCAGAAAUAACCAGUCACCGCUACAGACAAUUAUUUGGUUUAUUGCUGUUGGAAGAAUUUUCCAGACACUGUUGAGUCAGUGCUCUGAAAGAGAUCCUUGGGGCGAAGACCACUUAAGGCUCCCUCAGGGGAGUCAGCCAUUAAAGCAGCUAAGCCAAGGUAGGUUCCUCCAUCCCAUCAACUCCUGCCAGAGGCAGAGCAUCAGUCAAUUCAGAAGCAGCUCUGUAUUACACUUUGAUUAUAGCAUUUUAUUCUUAAAGUGCCUAAGUUACAUAAAAACAUGCCUCAGCUAACAAUGCAGCAUUUUAAAACAAGUAACUGAGCUAACAGCUGCUAGAUAAUUUGAUGCAUAGCUUAAUGUUUUACUCAGAGGCUGGUCAGCCUGUAUGGCCAUGUGUAUUUAUUUCCACCAGCACCUCUAUUUGUGCUUAUUCACUGGCCACCCAGGCCAAGCUGACUUCUUGGCAUGAGAGAAGGGUCACAAAUAGGAGUCUCCCAGGAAAGAGUUGCCCUUUCCAGAUGCACAUUCACCGAGAGAGACAGUCGCCAUAGCAAGACACUAACAAAGCAAAGGCGAAAAACCUCAGCGCCAUCCUAGUGACCAGGUGCAGCAACUCUGGACUGUAGGAAUUACACACCAGUUAUUGCAAUGGAGGGUUAGGGUUCCACAGUGGUUUUUCACAUAGAAAUGUCCUGUGUGCUGCAGUGCCUAGCUUCAGAGGGGUGAAGAAUUAGAGUGAUAACUACCCUCAGGCACACCCAUACCUGUCCAGUGUCCACAGGGGAAUUGCAUGAGCGUAAAUGAGGGCAGAGCAGGGACACCUCUCUCAUAAAUGUUCUUUUCAAAGAUUAAGAACUUCACUUUAUUACUUUAGUUCUUCUCCAGGAGACAGCUGUGGGCUCCAAGCAGAAACUACCCCAUGUUCUUUCUCACAAAGAAGUUGAUUAUAGGAUAUGCAGAAGCAGACCAUCACUACUUUCCCAAUACAGGGCUGGAGUUAACUGGAGGCUGAGAAGCACCAGGGGGUACUCACACUCUUUUUGCUGUUUCAUCCCAAACUGGUGAGGUUUACUUUUCCCUAGCAGAGUGAGUACACAGAACUAGAGCAGCUGACAAAUAACAGCCUCACUGCUUGCUAUUUCAGGUUUUAGCACUAUACCGUUCCUGGAGUGCUUCUCCCCUCCCAGCCCCAUGGGGAGGUAAGUCUCUUCCAUCUCCCACUGUAUGAUACUCAACAUACACAUGGGACAGGCCACGUUUUCCAAAGUAGUCUGGGAACCCCUAGAUCCCGAUCUUCUGGGUUUCCUACUCUCUCUCCCCUCCGAGCAGCAGGCACCAGCCCCAGGAGUCAGACUGGACACCAACAUCAGGAGCCACUUUAGAAGUCACUGGACUGAGGUACUUGGCCAGGCCUGAGAGGGAAUGUAUGACUGACUGAGAUUGGAGUUUGAGUGAGCCAGGCUUACUGCCCAUCCCCCUCUACUCAUUUACUUCCCUAAGAUGCUGAUAUUACCUCCCCCUCUUCCACUCCCACCAGUUUCAGACUCCUCACAGGAGCUCCAGAACGUAGCCCUGAUCCAUUCAGAGAUGGACAUAGCUGGGUGCUCCCAGGGCUGAGUGGAGAUGAAAUGAACAUGGCUGUUGCAUGCAUGAAUUCCUCUUGCUGCUGGGCAGGAGCACAGGCCAUUCCUAUUCUUGGUGCUCCACCUGUCUCCCCGCACACUGGAGAGUUCUUAAAAAUCAGACUCCAUGAUGUUUUAGGUGAGACUAGCUAACCUACUCAAGUGCGAGAGCUGAAGAACCCAGAGAUCCUUGGGGCAGGAUGGUGUGGAAGACCUGCAGUCACAAGAAGUUAGUGAUGUUGCACUUUUCUCACCUGGAGCUCUGGUGGUGGUUACACGGAGAACUUGUUCUGAGCUGGCUCUGUUGUCUGGGAUCCUGGCGGAGCCUCUGGGGAGAAUGGCAGCUCCUGGAUGGGUCUGCAGUGCUGAUGGAUCAGUGGACUCAUCCCAGGAGACUGAGGGAUAACCUGGACCCCGCAGCAGUCACAGCCAUAUCUCAUCACUGCUCAUGCUGGACGCUUUGUAAAUGUGCCCAACCAUCGGGAACUGGACGAAACCUGGAGGACAAAAGAAAUCCCAUUACAAGGGCCCUGCUGCACAGUCAGCCCAGGUUGUGGGUCAGGGAAUGCAGCUGUAUUAAGCUGAUGGGGGCAGGUGGUACACUGUUCCCAGGCUCGCUAAAGCCACAACACUCAGGCCAUUUCAAAGCGUAUCCAUGCCAGUUGCCUGUCAGUCCCUCCACUUUCAGCCCAUUUAAAGUUAAAUAGGUUUGAAAUAAUGACAGCCUAUGCUAAGGUCUAAACAUGUAAAGUUAAUAUUAAGAGCAUCAGAACAGCCACACAGCACCAACACUGUGCAUGUUCUGAGGCUGGAGACCCCCAGAAAAAAAAUAGUGGGUGCUCAGCACACACCUGCAGCCCCAGAUCAGCUCCCUCCUCCCCCCCAGCACCUGCUGAUCACCAGCAGGUGGGAGAGCAGGAAGGGACAGGGCGUCCUAGGUGGAGAAGGUGGAACAGGGGUCCUUCUAGCCCAGUAUCCUGUCUGCAGACAGUGGCCAAUGAAUGAACAGAACAGGGAAUCAUCAAGUGACCCAUCCCCUGUCACCCAUUCCCAGCUUCUGACAAACAGAGGCUAGAGACACCAUCCCUGCCCAACCCUGGUAGUCUUGGCCUUCACAACAUCCUCUGGCAGAGUUCCACAGGUUGACUGUGCUUUGUGUGAAGAAAUACUUCCUUUUGUUUGUUUUAAACCUGCUGUCUAUUAAUUUCAUUUGGUGACCCCUAGUUCUUGCGUUAUAGAAUCACAGAACUAGAAGGGAACUCGAGAGGUCAUCUAGUCCAGUCUCCUGCACUCAAGGCAGGACUAAGUAUUAUCUAGACCAUUCCUGACAGGUGUUCGUCUAACCUGCUCUUAAAAAUCUCCAAUGAUGGAGAUUCCACAACCUUCCUAGGCAAUUUAUUCCAGUGCUUAACCACUCUGACAGUGAGGAAGUUUUUCCUAAUGUCCAACCUAAACAUCCCUGGCUGCAAUUUAAGACCAUUGCUUCUUGUCCUAUCCUCAGAGGUUAAGAAGAAUAAUUCUUCUCCCUCCUCCUUGUAACAACCUUUUAUGUACCUGAAAACUGUUAUGUCUCCUCUCAGUCUCCUCUUUUCCAGACUAAACAAACCCAAUUUUUUCAAUCUUCCCUCAUAGGUCAUGUUUUCUAGACCGUUAAUCAUUUUUGUUGCUCUUCUCUGGACUUUCUCCAAUUUGUCCACAUCUUUCCUCAAAUGUGGUGCCCAGAACUGGCCACAAUACCCCAGCUAAGAUCUAAUCAGCAUGGAGUAGAGCGGAAGAAUUACUUCUCCUGUCUUACUUACAACACUCCUGCUAAUACAUCCCAGAAUGAUGUUCACUUUUUUUUGCAACAGUGUUACACUGUUGACUCAUAUUUAGCUUGUGAUCCACUAAGACCCCGAGAUCCCUUUCCGCCAUACUCCUUCCUAGGCCGUCAUUUCCCAUUUUCUAUGUGUGCAACUGAUUGUUCCUUCCUAAGUGGAGUACUUUGCAUUUGUCCUUAUUGAAUUUCAUCCUAUCUACUUCAGACCGUUUUUCAGGUUUGUCCAGAUCAUUUUCAAUUUUAAUCCUAUCCUCCAAAGCACUUGCAACCCCUCCCAGCUUGGUAUCAUCCGCAAACUUUAUAAGUGUGCUAUCUAUGCCAUUAUCUAAAUCACUGAUGAAGAUAUUGAACAGAACCAGACCCAGAACCGAUCCCUGCAGGACCCCACUCGUUAUGCCUCACUCAUUGUGAGAAGGAGUAAAUAACACUUUAUUUACUUUCUCCACACCAGUCAUGAUUUUAUAGACCUCUAAGGGAGUGGGAUAUGAUAGUUGUCUCUUUUCCAAGCUGAAAAGUCCCAAUCUUAUUAAUCUCUCUUCAUAUGGAAGCUGUUCCAUACCCAAAAUCAUUUUUGUUGCCCUUUUCUGAACUUUUUUCCAAUUCCAAUAUAUCUUUUUUGAGAUGGGGCAACGACAUCUGCACGCAGUAUUAAAGAUGUAGGCGUACCAUGGACUUAUAUAGAGGCAAUAUGAUAUUUUCUGUCUUAUUAUCUAUCCCUUUCUUAAUGAUUCCCAACUUUCUGUUCACUUUUUUGACUGCCACUGCACAUUGAGUGGAUGUUUUCAGAGAACUAUCCACAAUGACUCCAAGAUCUCUUUGUUGAGUGGUAACAGCCAAUUUAGACCCCAUCAUUUUAUAUAUAUAGUUGGGAUGUUUUCCAAUAUACAUUACUUUGCAUUUAUCAAUACUGAAUUUCAUUGCCAUUUUGUUGCCCAGUCACCCAGUUUUGUGAGAUCAUGUUUUGUAGCUCUUCACAGUGUGCAUUGGACUUAACUAUCUUGAGCAGUUUUGUAUCAUCUACAAAUUUUGCCACCUCACUGUUUACCCCUUUUUCCAGCUCAUUUAUGAAUAUGUUGAAUAGUACUGGUUCCAGAACAGACCCCUGGGGGACACCACUUUUUACCUCUCUCCAUUCUGAAAACUGACCAUUUAUUCCUACCCUUUGUUUCCUAUCUUUUAACCAGUUACCGAUCCAUGAGAGGAUCUUUCUUAUCCCAGGACAACUUACUUUGCUUAAGAGUCUUUGGUGAGGGACCUUGUCAAAGGCUUUCUGAAAAUCUAAGUUCACUAUAACCCCCUUGCCCACACGCUUGUUGACCUCCUUAUGUUUGCUACAAAGUUUUAAAGAAAGUCGAACCACAGCGUGGGCAAUUGGGUUCAGUGAGGGAUCCUGCUCAAAGAGGUAGGCGUACGUUGCUGUUUAUCUAAUACUUGCCUGUAGGGCCAUAUUAGCACUGACCCAAAGCAAGAGGUUCCCAUGGUCUAGAGCCGGCAGUAUGGCCCUUCUGAGCCCCCAUACUGUGCAUCCCCACACAACAGCUGCCCUCCCAUUUUAUACGUGAUCUCCCCACUCUCCCAGUGCAGAGCUGCUGCUGACACUGCACCCAGUAGUGAGCCAUUUGCACUAGUCUAUCACAGGAUGGAACCACCUCUCCCAGAUCCACUCCCUGCCCCUACAGGGCCACCCAGACUUGCUACCUCUAUUACCAAGGCCCAGGCUGUUCUCUGGCUCCGAUAGGGCAUCGUCCUUCCGCUUGGUUUGGAGUCCCGUGUCUCCAUGGCUGGCUGUCAGGGGAAGGAGGUGUUUGGAGUGAGGAGGAAUCACACACAUUGUGUCACAUAUCUAUACUUCCCCCAUCAGAGCUGGAACUCCCCUACCUGGGCAUACUGGCCCAGUCCCAACCCCCCUCCAAAUGCAGCAGGGACCCAGCCCAGUGCUCAGAGCUACAAUCAAAGGAGAAGCCACUGCCCCAGACAGAUGCAGGAGAGGAGUCCUGGGGAAAGGCUCACACUGGGUCAAUGGGAAAUCUCACCCUAUAUGCUAUGGGCAGCUGUGCCCAGCUCAGAAGGGACAUCCCUCUAAACUGCCUGGCUCUGGUAAGGAACGCACCUUUGGCCUCCUGCGUGAGGUCACUGAGCUGCAGGUUGGACGGGAGGGACAUGUUCUCUCGGGGCAGUCGCACGCUGUUCAGCUUCAGGUUGUUGGAAUCGCUGCAGCAAGAACAAAGACUGAAUGACUGCAGGAGCCCCCUGCUGUGGCACAGCACAUACUGCAGUGCGGGCCUCUCCCCCAGCCCAUGCCUAUGUGUCAGCGGAUUUGGCUCGUUCCGGGCUGGGUUGGCCCUCGGCCCCUGCUGCUACAUCUGUGUCCCAUGGAAUCAGCACUGAUUGAGGGGGGAGGUCUGGGUAGGAAGCCCUGCCCAGCCUGGUAGGGACUGGACACUCUCCCCGCGCAGAGGGGCCCCUCUCUGAAGUAAGUUGGCAGGAGUCAGUCUAGCUCCCAGGGGCCCAAAUUACAGUCAGCCCCAGCUGGCCCUACACAGGGUCUCUCCAGGGCAGGGCAGGGCAGGGCUUGGGUGCCCAGGCUGCCCCUGCUCUGGGGAUAGAGGACUCCAAUCUCCAGUACUGUGAACCUGGCACCUUGCAACAACGUCAAACUUACCCCAGCCCCAGGGGCCACCACAUGGAGCUCAGCCAUCCCCAUGUGCUCCUAGCGGCCCCAGACCCUCCCCAAAAACUGCACAUGCCAAAGCAGUGAAGGGGUUAAAGAGGCAGGCACUGGUGCAUGGGGGGAGGGGAGGUGCAGGCUUCAGGCUGUUUGGUGCGGGAGGGCGGAUAAUAACGCACUUUUACCCCUCCACCAAGUCCUAUCAGAACAGAGACCCCGCAGCGAGGGGUAGGGGUGGGUUACCUUGGAGGAGGCGGCGUAGGUCCAGAGAGCCCUAGCGAAGAAGAGAGCGUGUUAGGGGCAAAGUUGGCAUCCUGGCCUUUAUACAGAGCUGGGCACAGCAGGGGCACCGGGGCCCGUGACCCAAGGGGUUGGGGGAGGGAGCACUCCCAGGCCCAAAGAAAAGCCCUGGUGUCCAGGGCACCAGCAGUGCAAGGACACACCCCUCUCACCUGACGCCUUCUUCCCCUUCCUGCAGAUGACACAGAUGAUGAGGGUGUUGAGACAGAGGAGAGUCCCCAGUGCCAAGGCUCCUCCAACAAUGAUGGCCAGUAGGGGCAGCUCCACACGGGUAUCCAGGAGACCUGCACCAGAGCCAGCCACCCACAUUAGAGACCUCUAGACUUAGCACGCACAGGCCUACGCCACCCUACGGGCUGUGCUCACUGGUCAUUCCCAUACAGCACCAGAGGCUGUCUGGCAUCUAUGGCUCGCCCAUCACAGGUUCAUAGAUUCCAAGGCCAGGAGGGGCCACUGUGAUCAUCUAGUCUGAACUUAUAACACAGGCCAGGGAACUUGCCCCAAAAUUCCCAGAGCAGUGAUGGAGAAUCCACCAUGACCCCUGCUAAAUUGUUCCAGUGCUUAAUUACUCUCAUCGUUAAAAAUUUACAUCUUUUUUCCAGUCUGAAUUUGUCUAGCUUCAAUUUCCAGCCCUUGGAUCUUGUUCUACCGUUCUCUGCUCCCCAUGUACAUAUUCAUAGACUGUAAUCGAGUCGCCAUCUCUUUGUUAAGCUAAAUAAAUUGUGUUCCUUGAGUCUAUCACUAUAAAGCACAUUUUCUAAUCCUUUAAUCAUUCUGAUGGCUUUUCCCUGACCCCUCUCCAAUUUAUCAACACUCCCCUUGAAUUGUAGACACUAGAACGGGACACAGGAUUCCAGCAGCAGUCGCACCAGUGCCAAAUAGAGAGGUUAAAUGAUCUUUACUCCUACUCAAGAUUCCCCUAUUUAUGCAUGUCAAGAUCUCAUUAGCAUUUUUGGCCACAGCAUCACAGUAGUAGCUCAUGUUCAGCUGAUUAUCCACCACGACUCCCAAGUAUUUCAGAGUCACUGCUUCCCAGGCUAGAGUCCCCCACCCUGUAAGUAUGGCCUGCACUCUUUGCUCCUAGAUGGAUACAUUUACAUUUAGCCUGUUUUUAAUCCAUUUACUGUGUGCCAUGUUAAUUUUAUAUUAUUCUACUUUUUUAAAUCAAAAUAUCAUGCAGUACCAAGUCAAAUGCCUUACAGAAAUCUAUUUCAUCAUACUAUUACAUUUAUCAACCAAAUGUGUAAUCACAUAAAAAAAAGGUAUCAAGUUA